rnacentral:snoRNA from 1 species
AUCUAACUAGAUUUCCAAGCACAUAUCUGAUGAUUCCAUAUGGAAUUUAACUACUCUAAGUUUCCUGGAU